ensembl:lncRNA
UGUUAUUGUGUCUCUACUUCCUGUUUGUAUCUCUGUAACCUUCAGUCAGAUGUUCUCUUGUUAUUUCACUACUUCCUGUUUUGAUCUUUGCUCGAAAGUUGUUGUUUUCAACAGAAGGUUCAUAUGGCUUCAUGUUGGACACACCCGCAUGUCAUUUUAAACACAAUUAUCAUCUUGUUAUUUUCUUGUAAAUGGAAAGCGGAGAAAAAGGUCGAACCUGAAAUGAAUUGAUUUGUAAUUAGAACAAACAGCUCUGUUACUUCUUACCUCUCAGUUUGUUUUGUUUUCUGAAUCCCAUUUCUGAGUCAAUCUACACUGAACAAAAAAAUAGAAACGCAACAUGUAACUUAUUUAGCAAACAUUUCUCUACCAUGAGCCGCCUCCGAUGUCGUUUUUAGAGAAUUUGGCAGUACGUCCAACCGGCCUCACAACAGCAGACCGUGUUACCAUGCCAGCUAAGGACCUCCACGGCUUCUGCAUCGGCAGGAUCGUCUGAGACCAGCCACCCGAACAGCUGUUGAAACUGAGGAGUAUUUCAGUGGCUGCGCCCAGUCAUGUGAUGUAGAUUAGGGCCUAAUGUAUUUAAAUUGACUGAUUUCCCUCUAUAAACUGUACCUCAGAACUGUUGUGUUUUAAUUUCUGUUCAGUAUAAUUAUGACGUACGCGUGGAAUGUAAUUUCAGACAUGAAUUGAGUUAAUAAAGAACGAAUCUAACGAGACGUGUUUGUCUGUGUGUGUGGUGUGAGGUGGUGAGGUGCAUUUAAGACUGGAAACUCAAGACAAAAUUAGGUGAAAUCGUGAUGUAAAAACAUUGAAGUCAGAUGGUGAGGUCAAAUCGUGACAUCAGUGAGGUCAGAUGGUGAGGUCAAAUCGUGACAUCAGUGAAGUCAGAUGGUGAGGUCAAAUCGUGACAUCAGUGAGGUCAGAUGGUGAGGUCAAAUUGUGACAUCAGUGAGGUCAGAUGGUGAGGUCAAAUCGUGACAUCAGUGAGGUCAAAUCGUGA